AGUGAACGCUGGCGGUAGGCCUAACACAUGCAAGUCGAACGGCAGCACAGUAAGAGCUUGCUCUUACGGGUGGCGAGUGGCGGACGGGUGAGGAAUACAUCGGAAUCUACUUUUUCGUGGGGGAUAACGUAGGGAAACUUACGCUAAUACCGCAUACGACCUACGGGUGAAAGCAGGGGAUCUUCGGACCUUGCGCGAUUGAAUGAGCCGAUGUCGGAUUAGCUAGUUGGCGGGGUAAGGCCCACCAAGGCGACGAUCCGUAGCUGGUCUGAGAGGAUGAUCAGCCACACUGGAACUGAGACACGGUCCAGACUCCUACGGGAGGCAGCAGUGGGGAAUAUUGGAUAAUGGGCGCAAGCCUGAUCCAGCCAUACCGCGUGGGUGAAGAAGGCCUUCGGGUUGUAAAGCCCUUUUGUUGGGAAAGAAAAGCAGCAGGUUAAUACCCCGCUGUUCUGACGGUACCCAAAGAAUAAGCACCGGCUAACUUCGUG
rnacentral:rRNA from 1 species